UCGCGCCUCACUGGUGGUGGAUCGCGUGCAUGGGAAGGAAGCGCUGCGGCAGAUGACGGGUUGCGGUGUUUCGUCUUUUUUGUGUUUUUCUGACUCGCUGCAACUUCCAAGUUGGGUUCACGCCAAGAAGACCCACCAACGCGGAUCGCGCCGUGCGCUAAUAGCCGGCACCUCACAAAACAGGAGCCACACCAGGAUUUCUCUACAUGUCGAUGGGGCAGAACACAGACUUUCAUUUUAGUUGGAGUUGCCGGAGGGCCCUUCAUCAGGUGUACUUCAUGGUGUGAAUUGGGCGAGCAGGGACCUGCAGCACCAGCUCUGGGCCGUCCAGCGAGCCGAGGAAGCAGCCAAGGGCCAACCAACCACGGCCGAGACCUAGGCGGGGUUCAGGCCCACCCCAUCAAAUCGUAGGGUACUCA